GGGCCGUUAGUUCAGUCAGCAGAACACUCGAUUCGCAUUCGAGAGGUCGCCGGUGCAAUUCCGGCACGGUCCA
rnacentral:tRNA from 1 species